rnacentral:rRNA from 1 species
GACGAACGCUGGCGGCGUGCUUAACACAUGCAAGUCGAACGGAAAGGCCCUGCUUUUGUGGGGUGCUCGAGUGGCGAACGGGUGAGUAACACGUGAGUAACCUGCCCUUGACUUUGGGAUAACUUCAGGAAACUGGGGCUAAUACCGGAUAGGAGCUCCUGCUGCAUGGUGGGGGUUGGAAAGUUUCGGCGGUUGGGGAUGGACUCGCGGCUUAUCAGCUUGUUGGUGGGGUAGUGGCUUACCAAGGCUUUGACGGGUAGCCGGCCUGAGAGGGUGACCGGCCACAUUGGGCCUGCGAUACGGCCCAGACUCCUACGGGAGGCAGCAGUGGGGAAUAUUGCACAAUGGGCGGAAGCCUGAUGCAGCAACUCCGCGUGCGGGAUGACGGCCUUCGGGUUGUAAACCGCUUUCGCCUGUGACGAAGCGUGAGUGACGGUAAUGGGUAAAGAAGCACCGGCUAACUACGUG